AUUGAACGCUGGCGGCGUGCCUAACACAUGCAAGUCGAGCGGUAACAGGUGUAGCAAUACAUGCUGACGAGCGGCGAACGGGUGAGUAAUGCUUUGGAAUCUUCCCAGUAGUGGGGAAUAACCAGUCGAAAGAUUGGCUAAUACCGCAUACGUCUGUAAAGGGAAAGCGGGGGACGUCGCCUCUUCUUCGGAAGAGAGGCCUCGCGCUAUUGGAUGAGCCAAAGCGGAUUAGCUAGUUGGUGGGGUAAGUGGCCUACCAAGGCGACAAUCCGUAGCUGGUCUGAGAGGACGACCAGCCACACCGGAACUGAGACACGGUCCGGACUCCUACGGGAGGCAGCAGUGGGGAAGUAUUGGACAAUGGGGAAACCCGUAGAUCCAGCGACGCCGCGUGUGUGAAGAAGGCCUGCGGGUUGUAAAGCACUUUUAGU
rnacentral:rRNA from 1 species